AAAUCAACUUAUUACAACACAAUUUAUUUAAGAACCGAAAUGUUCAAAUAAUUGUAAAACUGAUACAAUCUAAACUCAACAUACAAUUGCAUAUCAGACCUCAAAUGUUUGUUAAGAACUAAGGCACAAUUUUUUUUUUGAUACAGAUGUCUAAAAUUACUUAUAGUCCUUCCUCAACCCUUUAAUAGGAGAAUAAAUAUAUUUCAACACGCUCGAGCCCACAUCCUCCUAUAUAGACAAGAAUAUCAAUACCAACCAAAUUAGAAUUUAGUCGGCAAUUAAUUCACAAUUAAAACGGUACAAUUCACAUAACAUAUUGAGAUUUUAGGACCCCACAUUAUCAUCUAUGUCGACCUCCCUUUUUUUUGUCAAAUACUUUUUUUCUUCUUAUCACUAAAGAAAAUCACAACUUUUUAGAUGUUGAUGAUGAUGGAAAAUUUUCUUUUAACUUUUAUAUCUUUAUAAUUUCAAUUAUUUUUUUAAAGUUUAUAUAUAUUUUUAAUUUCCAAUGAUGAUAUGAUAUAAUCUAAAAGUAUUAUAUCAUCACAUUUUACGGGCAUUAGAAAAGGUUAGAUUAUGCCAUUAGUCCAUGUACUUUGUAAAAGUCGUGAAUUCUAUUUCUAGCCCUCACCAAACAGUAGUUGUUAAAUUAUGCUAUUUUUAAAAUCUAAUGCAGCAAAUAUAUUAUCAUAUGCAUAAUGUCAUGUCAACUUAUUAUUUCCAGAUAUUUCUAAUUAAAAAUCCAAUCAAUGGAUUGAAGACUACCAUUUGCAUCAGGACUAAAAUUUAAAAUUUUUAAAAGUAUAAGGACUUCGAGUUAUCCAAUUGGGUAAUAUGGGCUAAAUUUUACAACUAUACGUAAGUACAAGACUAGUUAUUGAAUUUAACAGCUCAAGUUUAACUAUCAUUGUUUGGGUAACGACUAAAAUUUCAGAAUUCGAAAAUUAUAGGGACUAAAAUUGAUCAAAUUAAAAUAUAAAGAUAAAAUUCACAAAUUUUAAAAUGUACAAGGACUAAUAGCAAAAUUUAACCUUAAAAAGACAAAAGAUGUGAUGCAAUCCAAAUUCGGGAACCAACCUAAAAAAAAAAUCAACAAACAAACUUUAAAUAUCAACUUGAGAAAAGUUGCUACGUUCAAGAGCUAAAUGUUGCUUUAUCCCUUAAUCAUAUGAAAAAUAAUUAUCUAAUUUUGAAUUUCACCCUUCAACUUUAUGAAAAUUGAUAAGUUAAUCUCUGAUCCUUGAACUUUAAGAAAACUAAGAAAUUAGUCCGUUUUGGUAAUAAAUGAAACUUUUGCACUUUUGGCCCCUCAAAAAAAAGUUAAUAAUUUAAUUUAAUCUCUUUUGACACAAUUUUAACUUUGAUCCGUAAAAUUUUAUAAUUUUAUCUCAACCUCACACCAUAAAUUUUUUAGCUUCGUCUUUAGGUCCCCCCUCUCCUUUCUUCACAGGGUAAACAAGUUGUCACAUUUAAAGGUCGGGUAAAUUAUAGUAUAGGUCAUCCAACUAUGGUUUUUUUUCUUUUUAGUCAUCCAACUAUAAAAAGUUACAAAAUGAUCAUUCAACUAUUCAAUUUUUGUCUUUUUUAGUAACCACUUGGCUAACAUAAAAAUAAAAACACCCAAAAAUCCUAUAGUUAGAUGGCCCAAGAAAGUAAUGAAUUCAAACUAAAUAUAUUUUAAAAUUAGAGUUAAAUAUUAUAAAUUGAUUAACCACAUAAUCUUUACUAUAUAUAUUACCAGAUAUAUAUAAUCAAUUAAUUAGCAUUAUUUUUGAAAUUUAAAGAUUACAAUAUGCUCCAAGUUUCUAUACUAUUGGCAUAUUUAGAAUUUAGUCCCUAUAUUUUUUUUAAAUUUAGUCAUUUUACUUUUUAAAUUUAAAAAUUCAAAUAUAGUUGUUAACACUGUUAAAAUUCACGCCAGUAUUUUAAUUAGAAUAAAAUAUCUAGGUUAACUAAUGGCAAUAUAAAGGUUGAGGUACUGAAUUAUGUCAAAAGUUAAAAUAUAAAGAUUAAAUCUCAAAUUUAAAUAAAAGAUAGGGACUGAAAUUAAAUUUUAACUAUUUUUUUAUAUUCCAAAAAAUAAAAAGAAUAUAUAUAUAUGGUAAGACAUUAGUUUAUAUGGUAAAAUAUUAUAGAUAGUAAUAUCAUAUAUUUAUCAUUGAUCAUUUAUAGUAAAAUAUAAAUAAAUAUAUGGUAAUAUAUAUGGAAACAUAGAAAUACACAUAAUGGAAAAAAAUCAUAUCAAAUCUAAUGUAUCAAAGUUUCCUAAUUUAUUAUUUUUGAAGUUAGGAAUAUAUUAUUUAUCUUUUAAAAAAUAUAAUUUUAUUUUUAAAUGAAUUAUCAUUUUAUAUACUGUUAGUGGAGUAAAAAAUGCUACAAACGAGUUUAGGUUGGCUUCUAUUCACCUUUAUGUUUGUCCAAACUCGACCUGAUUUGAAAUAUGGGCUUAAAAUUUUGCCCAAAUUUAUCUAUAUUUGUAAAAAAUUAUGCAAAUCCAUUUUAGGCUCACCUAUAUUGUUUUUAAAAAAUUAUUUAAUAAGUUUAUAUAUUUUUUAUUUAUUGAAUUUUUUUAUAAUCAUCUUAAUAUUACUUUAAUGUUUUUAUUAGAGUAAUAUUAUAUAUUUAGUAUAAAUUUAUUUUUUAAAUAUGUUCUGAAUUACAUAAAUUAUAAAAAUAACAUAAUAUAAAAAAUUAUAAACUUAAAAAUGGAUUGGAUCGAGUUAAAUUUGGGCCUUAAAUAUUUAAACUUUCGAGUUAACUUAUAUUUUAAACGAAUUUAUUUAUUUUUGUUUAAAUUUAUAUUUCAAACCUAAAUUUUUUUAAACCCUCUAAAAUGUCAAACCGCCUUUAAAUCUGGAUAAAUGACCCGAACAUCAACAGGUAAUAGAUUCCCUCCGACAAAAUAUCUUCCCAAAAGGUUUCCCUCUAAAAUAAUAUCUUCCCAACUGUACCUUCCUUUUUUUUAUCAAUUAUUUUCUUUGAAAUAAUCACCCGAUGAUUUCCAUCUUUUUAACUUUUGCCAUUAAAGUCUCACUCUUUUUUUCUUAAAACCUUCAAUUUUUUGUAUUUUUUUUAAUUUAGUUUCAAGCAACAAAAAUGGCUGAUGAAGCGUUAGUGAAGAACAAGCAAGUGGUUCUCAAGAACUAUGUGAAUGCCGGUUUGCCCAAAGAAUCAGAUAUGGAAAUCAAAGAAAAAAGCAUUCAAUUGAAAGUUCCAGAAGGGACUAAAGAUUCAAUUUUAGUGAAAAAUCUCUACUUAUCUUGCGAUCCUUACAUGAGGAAUCGUAUGAAGAAGCUCGAAGAUUCGUAUGUGCCGUCUUUUGAGCCCGGAUCGGUGAGUUUCAUGAAUCUGAACUGAAAAAAUUUCCCUUUUUUUCCCAUGUUUUUCGAGGAUUUUCAAUUUUGAUCUGGUUUUUUUUUAGUAAAUAGGUUUUGUUUGAUGACUUUGCUGGUACGGUUUAUAAGAAGCUUGGUGGGGGAAUUUAAUGAGAAUUUCAAAAAGAAAAAAUUUUGGAGGGUUUAAUUAGAAUUUUAGCUCAAAUCAAGGUUUAUAGUUCCCAAUGGUGAGUUCUGGCUGUUUAGGAUUGAG
rnacentral:lncRNA from 1 species